rnacentral:rRNA from 1 species
UACAGAGGUCUCAAGCGUUGUUCGGAUUCAUUGGGCGUAAAGGGUGCGUAGGCGGCGCGGUAAGUCGGGUGUGAAAUCUCGGAGCUUAACUCCGAAACUGCAUUCGAUACUGCCGUGAUUGAGGACUGGAGAGGAGACUGGAAUUUACGGUGUAGCGGUGAAAUGCGUUGAUAUCGCUAGGAACUCCGAUGGCGAAGGCAAGGUGCUGGACCCUUUCUGACGCUGACGGCGCGAAAAGCCAGGGGAGCGGAACGGG